rnacentral:lncRNA from 1 species
CCAGUCGGGAUUGGGAAGUGCUUGGGAGCAGCUGCAGCGUGGAUGGGCCGUGCCCUUGGAGAAGGCUGAGGACAUCAUUUGGGACCAGCUUUUCUCCCAGCGGAGGAUGGCAUGAGAAGUGCCAUGAGUGGCCAAAGCUGGCAAGUGAGCUGUGUUCCUGAGGCAGUGCAGUCUGGAGCUGAUGGAUGGAGAGUUGCCCUUCCCACUUCCAAACCAGAGCAAAAGGCCGUAAGUGGGAUUUUUCAUCUGUAAGAAACCCGUGACAAUUUCAGAGGGAAUGUGCAGCUCAUUCACAGAGUGAGAAGGAAGGUCAUCUUCUAAAGGAUUUGGGGUUUGACAGAGUUUAGAUUCCCAG